rnacentral:misc_RNA from 1 species
GGAAAGUAAAAGUCGUAACAAGGUUUCCGUAGGUGAACCGGCGGAAGGAUCAUUAUCGUACAAAAUGUGAGGGGCAUGCGAGGGCUGUCGCUGACCCAAAGGUCGUGCACGCCCGAGUGUGUCCUCUUGCAUAAUAAUCCAUCUCACCCUUUGUGCAUCACCGCGUGGGCACCCAUCGGGAUCAUCUCGGAGGUGGGCUCGCGUUAUCACACAAACCCCCCUUUUAAAAGUGUAGAAUGACCACAUUUAUGCAAUCAAUACAACUUUCAGCAACGGAUCUGUUGGCUCUC